GUGCUCGCUUCAGCAGCACAUAUAUAAAAUUGGAAGGAUGUGGAAAAGAUUAGCAUGGCCCCUGCACAAGGAUGGCAUGCAAAUUCAUGAAGCUAUUCCAUAUUUU
ensembl:snRNA U6 U6 spliceosomal RNA